CACGUAGGGGGCGAGCGUUGUCCGGAUUUAUUGGGCGUAAAGAGCGUGUAGGCGGCCAGGUAGGUCCGUUGUGAAAACUCGAGGCUCAACCUCGAGACGCCGAUGGAAACCAUCUGGCUAGAGUCCGGAAGAGGAGAGUGGAAUUCCCGGUGUAGCGGUGAAAUGCGCAGAUAUCGGGAAGAACACCCGUGGCUAAGGCGGCUCUCUAGUACGGUACUGACGCUGAGACGCGAAAGCGUGGGGAGCGAACAGG
rnacentral:rRNA from 1 species